GACGAACGCUGGCGGCGUGCUUAACACAUGCAAGUCGAACGGAAAGGCCCGGCUUUUGUGGGUUCCUCGGGUGGCGACCGGGUGGGAAACCCGUGGGUAACCUGCCCUUGACUUUGGGAUACCUUAAGGAAAUUGGGGCUAAUACCGGAUAGGAGCUCUGGCUGCUUGGGGGGGGUGGGAAGGUUUCGGCGGUUGGGGAUGGACUCGCGGCUUAUCAGCUUGUUGGUGGGGUAGUGGCUUACCAAGGCUUUGACGGGUAGCCGGCCUGAGAGGGUGACCGGCCACAUUGGGACUGAGAUACGGCCCAGACUCCUACGGGAGGCAGCAGUGGGGAAUAUUGCACAAUGGGCGGAAGCCUGAUGCAGCAACGCCGCGUGCGGGAUGACGGCCUUCGGGUUGUAAACCGCUUUCGCCUGUGACGAAGCGUGAGUGACGGUAAUGGGUAAAGAAGCACCGGCUAACUACGUG
rnacentral:rRNA from 1 species